AAAGUCGUAACAAGGUUUCCGUAGGUGAACCUGCGGAAGGAUCAUUACUGAGUUCAUGCCCUCACGGGUAGAUCUCCACCCUUGAAUAUUAAACCUUUGUUGCUUUGGCGGGCCGCUUCGGCCACCGGCUUCGGCUGGUGAGUGCCCGCCAGAGACACCAAAACUCUGAAUUAUAGUGUCGUCUGAGUACUAUACAAUAGUUAAAACUUUCAACAACGGAUCUCUUGGUUCUG
rnacentral:misc_RNA from 1 species